GGGGAUAUAGUUCAGUUGGUAGAGUGCUUGCCUAGCACACACAAGACCCUGGGUUCAAUCCCCAGCACCACCA
rfam:Ictidomys tridecemlineatus contig107443, whole genome shotgun sequence.